AAGGGGAGAGAAAGAGGUGGAAAGUUUUAUUGGGCCUAAAGCGUUCGUAGCCGGUUUGAUAAGUCUCUGGUGAAAUCCCGCAGCUUAACUGUGGGACUUGCUGGAGAUACUAUUAGACUUGAGGUCGGGAGAGGUUAGGGGUACUCCCAGGGUAGGGGUGAAAUCCUAUAAUCCUGGGAGGAGCACCGGUGGCGAAGGCGCCUAACUGGAACGAACCUGACGGUGAGUAACGAAAGCGAGGGGCGCGAACCG
rnacentral:rRNA from 1 species